AUUCUUCCAAUUCCACCAUCAACGCACUGAAUAGACACCACAUCGACCUUUGUCAGGGACUUCUCUCUCUAAUAAUACAAUUCUUCCAAUUCCACCAUCAACGCACUGAAUAGACACCACAUCGACCUCUUUGUCAGGGACUUCUUUCUCUAAUAAUACAAUUCUUCCAAUUCCACCAUCAACGCACUGAAUAGACACAACAUCGACCUCUUUGUCAGGGACUUCUCUCUCUAAUAAUACAGUAUGUAUCUGUCUAUAACAACAAUGUCUGCAUUGCUAACAUGUAUUCUUUUUUCAGAUUCUUUCAAU